rnacentral:misc_RNA from 1 species
GAUGAAGAACGUAGCGAAGUGCGAUAAGUAGUGUGAAUUGCAGAAUUUCGUGAAUCAUCGAAUCUUUGAACGCAAAUUGCACUCUCCGGUUUUCCGGGAGAGUAUGCCUGUUUGAGGGUCAGCCUAAAUAAAUUCGGCUUCGUUGCUGUUGUUUUCGCGGUAACGUUUUUAGUCGGGAUUUGGGUCAUCUUAAACCGAAAGGUUUUUAAGCGACUUAAAAUUUUUUUACGAUCCCACGAACGUUUCUAAGUACUUCUUACACGUUCAGGGUAUCGAAAACCCCUAUUAGGCGUGGCCGUCGUAUCGGAUCGCGUCCAUAAUAUUUAUUCUUUAACUGACCUCAGACAGGUAAGAAUACCCGCUGAACUUAAGCAUAUCAAUAAGCGGAGGA